rnacentral:misc_RNA from 1 species
CUGUGGUCGGUUGGCUCCUCUGGAGCGAUCCAUCCCUUCGGGGUUAUCGUCUUUGUAUUUUUUUUUUUUUUUUCAUUCAUUAGCAAUGGACGCCCCGCGGCCGAAACGCGGGGGGGCGUGUUGUGGAAUCGUGAGAGAA